rnacentral:rRNA from 1 species
GACGAACGCUGGCGGCGUGCCUAAUACAUGCAAGUCGAGCGAAGUUUUUCUGGUGCUUGCACUAGAAAAACUUAGCGGCGAACGGGUGAGUAACACGUAAAGAACCUGCCUCAUAGACUGGGACAACUAUUGGAAACGAUAGCUAAUACCGGAUAACAGUAUUUCUCGCAUGAGAGAUAUUUAAAAGUUGGUUAUGCUAACACUAUGAGAUGGCUUUGCGGUGCAUUAGCUAGUUGGUGGGGUAAAGGCCCACCAAGGCGACGAUGCAUAGCCGACCUGAGAGGGUGAUCAGCCACACUGGGACUGAGACACGGCCCAGACUCCUACGGGAGGCAGCAGUAGGGAAUCUUCCGCAAUGGGCGAAAGCCUGACGGAGCAACGCCGCGUGAGUGAAGAAGGAUUUCGGUUCGUAAAGCUCUGUUGUUAGGGAAGAAUGGAUAUGUAGUAACUAUACAUGUAAGAGACGGUACCUAACCAGAAAGCCACGGCUAACUACGUG